CCCCCUGGCGGGCUCGGCGGCAACGCGCAGGAAGGACCCGCCCCCAGCCUCGCGCCGUCGCCGCCGCACCAGCCCAACAUGGCGAUGCACAACAAGGCGGCCCCGCCGCAGAUCCCGGACACCCGGCGGGAGCUGGCGGAGCUCGUGAAGCGGAAGCAGGAGUUGGCGGAAACACUGGCAAACUUGGAGAGACAGAUCUAUGCUUUUGAAGGAAGCUACCUGGAAGACACUCAGAUGUAUGGCAAUAUUAUUCGUGGCUGGGAUCGGUAUCUGACCAACCAAAAAAACUCCAACAGCAAAAACGAUCGAAGGAACCGGAAGUUUAAGGAAGCAGAGCGGCUCUUCAGUAAAUCUUCAGUGACAUCGGCAGCUGCAGUAAGUGCAUUGGCAGGAGUUCAGGACCAGCUCAUUGAAAAGAGGGAGCCAGGAAGUGGGACCGAAAGUGACACUUCUCCAGACUUCCACAAUCAGGAAAAUGAGCCCAACCAGGAGGACCCUGAGGAUCUGGACGGAUCUGUGCAGGGAGUGAAACCUCAGAAGGCUGCUUCUUCCACUUCCUCAGGGGGUCAUCAUAGCAGCCAUAAAAAACGAAAGAAUAAAAACCGGCACAGCCCGUCUGGCAUGUUUGAUUAUGACUUUGAGUAUAUAUAUUAGGUUAGGCUGGGAAGUUUUUUUUAAAAACAGAAAAACGUGAUGGAGGAUUGAUCUGAAGUUAAACAAAAAACCACGAGCUGACUAUUAGAAGACUCAUUAGUACAGAAGCUUCCAGGCUGUAGAGCCCUGCUUCCCUUCUCCGACCUCACACAGAUAACAUCCCUCAUCUGAGCGCGUGGCCUCCCACCUCUGCUCUCCCCGACCCAGUGCCUGUGACUGAGUAGUUUGUUCUAAAUGUGGUGAUGAGUCAUUUCUGUAAGACAUUGCAUCGUUUGCUUUGUGUCAUUUUUAGAUACAACUGCAGGGAGACCGAGUCUGGUUGUAAUCCCAGCACAUUGCUCUGUGUGCAUUUCUCCCGUAGAGUGAAUGUCUCCCCCAGACUGGCUGGCCCCAGCCACAUCUGUGUUCCCCGUUGAGACACGUUCUCUGGUUUUGUAUUACGCUGAACGUAGACCACAAGUCACAUUUCUGAUGUAGGUUGUAAAUAUCUGCUAUUUCUUUUAUUUUGUGUUUUAUUGUUUUCCUAUUGUUGUUUUUACCAUCUUAUUUUCUUUCUGGGACUUUUUGUGAUGCCUUUGUACAGCUCAUACCUCCCUGCUGAUGUACUUGAUGAUCUGUUUCAUGCAGUUACCAAUAUUCUUAACUGAAAAGAAUGUGGUUUACUAUAAGUAAAAUGGGAAACUUGGCUCUGUGGGGCUUCACAGGGGAAGGUAGAGAGUGGUUAUUUAAUAAUUACCUGUCUUAAAUCUCUGAAUUGGAAGCAGUUUCACGUUCAAGGAACAGGAGAAGCUGAAAACCUUAAGUUUAAAUUAGUCCUUUUAAAAUAGAUGUUUUUAUUCUUUUGUAUAAAUAAAAUUCAUAGGUUUUGACUUGUCA